GAGUUUGAUCAUGGCUCAGAUUGAACGCUGGCGGCAGGCUUAACACAUGCAAGUCGAACGGUAGCAGGGGAAAGCUUGCUUUCUUGCUGACGAGUGGCGGACGGGUGAGUAAUGCUUGGGAAUCUGGCUUAUGGAGGGGGAUAACCAUUGGAAACGAUGGCUAAUACCGCGUAAUAUCGAAAGAUUAAAGACUGGGACCGCAAGGCCAGUUGCCAUAAGAUGAGCCCAAGUGGGAUUAGGUAGUUGGUGGGGUAAGGGCCUACCAAGCCUUCGAUCUCUAGCUGGUCUGAGAGGAUGACCAGCCACACUGGAACUGAGACACGGUCCAGACUCCUACGGGAGGCAGCAGUGGGGAAUAUUGCGCAAUGGGGGCAACCCUGACGCAGCCAUGCCGCGUGAAUGAAGAAGGCCUUCGGGUUGUAAAGUUCUUUCGGUGAUGAGGAAGGCUUAAAUGUUAAUAGCAUUUAGG
rnacentral:rRNA from 1 species